AUGACUUUGAUCCCCGUCUUCAUCUGGACGCUGAUCCUCUGGACUCAAGAAUGCAGAGGUCAAGCCACAGUAACUCAGACUCCUGCAGUGAAAUCUGCUCUUCCAGGAGAAACAGUCACCAUCAACUGUAGAACCAGUCAGGCAGUGUACAAGGACUCAAAUGGUGACUGGUUACACUGGUAUCAGCAGAAACCUGGAGAAGCUCCUAAACUCCUGAUUAAACUUGGGAAUCGGCUACAGUCGGGUAUUCCAGCUCGUUUCAGUGGCAGUGGAUCUGGAUCUGAUUUCACUCUGACCAUCAGUGGAGUCCAGACUGAAGAUGCAGGAGAUUAUUACUGUCAGAGUUACCAUGCCAUCACUGGCUACUGGUUCACACAGUAUUAUAGAGUCAUACAAAAACCUCCCUCAGUCAGAUUGUAG